rnacentral:rRNA from 1 species
AGACAGCAGUCGCCACGGUAAUACAGAGGGUGCGAGCGUUAAUCGGAUUUACUGGGCGUAAAGCGUGCGUAGGCGGCUUUUUAAGUCGGAUGUGAAAUCCCUGAGCUUAACUUAGGAAUUGCAUUCGAUACUGGGAAGCUAGAGUAUGGGAGAGGAUGGUAGAAUUCCAGGUGUAGCGGUGAAAUGCGUAGAGAUCUGGAGGAAUACCGAUGGCGAAGGCAGCCAUCUGGCCUAAUACUGACGCUGAGGUACGAAAGCAUGGGGAGCAAACAGGAUUAGAUACCCCCGUAGUCCCUGUCUCUUAUAC